GACGAACGCUGGCGGCGUGCUUAACACAUGCAAGUCGAACGGAAAGGCCUGCCUUCCCUUGUGGAUUGCGGGUACUCGAGUGGCGAACGGGUGAGUAACACGUGAGUGAUCUGCCCCCAACUUGGGUAUAAGCCUGGGAAACUGGGUCUAAUUCCCGAUAGGACUGUAGGGUGGUGCCUGUGGUGGAAAACGAUUUUCUAGUGGUUGGGGAUGAGCUCGCGGCCUAUCAGCUUGUUGGUGGGGUAAUGGACUACCAAGGCGGCGACGGGUAGCCGGCCGGAGAGCGGGGACGGCCACAUUGGGACUGAGAUACGGCCCAGACUCCUACGGGAGGCAGCAGUGGGGAAUAUUAGAGAAUGGGCGGAAGCCUGAUGCAGCGACGCCGCGUGGGGGGUGACGGCCUUCGGGUUGUAAACUCCUUUCGACCGCGAGGAAGCCACCUGGUUGGAAGGGUGGUGACGGUAGUGGUAGAAGAAGCACCGGCUAACUACGUG
rnacentral:rRNA from 1 species